rnacentral:lncRNA from 1 species
ACCCCAUCAGAAUUCUGACUUAAAACCAUCAAUCACGAUGGCCUGCGUUCUGACACUAAGAUAAUCAUGAACAGGCGUCAGAGUGUGGAGUGGCAGCACAAGAGCUGAUUUCCAUACUUUCUGAAUAUUUCCUGAUACCAAUGAACAGGCAUCAGAGCUCAGACCUGUCAACUUAUUCAAUAAAACAGCAUGAUCAACAGUAUCAAAAGCUUUCGACAGGUCCGCAAACAAAACAGCACAUUUCAUUUUAGUGUCUAAAACAUUGAUCAUUAACAACUAAAGUGGUUAAUGUAAUAGUGCUAUGCCCAGGCCUAAACCCUGAUUGGAUGACCAGGCCUAAACCCUGAUUGGAUGCCCAGGACUAAACCCUGAUUGGAUGCCCAGGCCUAAACCCUGAUUGGUUUACAUACAAAAUACAUGCCUCUGAUUUAAAAAAAGAGCAAAGUUGUACAUUUUACCAAGGAUUGUAGAAUCUUAUCUAGACCAGGAAGUCUUGAAAACAGGGCGGUAGUGAUUAUAAUCUCUACUGUCCCCAUCCUUAUGGAGAGGCAGCACAACAGCUGAUUUCCAUACUUUUUGGAAUAUUUCCUGAUAACAAUAUUAAAUACAAAAUGGUGGUUAUUGAGCCAACAAUGAUGAGCGCUGAAUACUUAAGCAGACCUGGGAUCCAAUUGGUCGGCCCCCUGUGGAGUUCUUCAUGUCUAUUUGCUAACAAAGCAUCUAGGAAUUAUUUGUUUCUGUAAAUAGCCUAAAAGAAAAGCUUUGACUAUAAUUUCUCUGAUCAUUUAGCAAGUUUCCCCCUACCAGCAUCCAACCCAAUAUCAUUGUGAAUAGACUUAGAAGUUCUUUCAAAGAGAUAUAAAAUGGUGAUUAAAUGUGUCAAUUAUGCAAUCCAUCCAUUCCAUUCAUUCCAUUCCAGCCAUUCCAUUCAUUCCAUUUAUUCCAUUCCAGCCAUUCCAAUGAGCCCAUCCCC